rnacentral:rRNA from 1 species
UACGUAGGGGGCAAGCGUUGUCCGGAAUCAUUGGGCGUAAAGAGCGUGUAGGCGGCCCGGUAAGUCCGCUGUGAAAGUCCAGGGCUCAACCCUGGGAUGCCGGUGGAUACUGUCGGGCUGGAGUCCGGAAGAGGAGUGUGGAAUUCCUGGUGUAGCGGUGAAAUGCGCAGAUAUCAGGAGGAACACCAAUGGCGAAGGCAGCACUCUGGGACGUGACUGACGCUGAGACGCGAAAGCGUGGGGAGCAAACAGG